UCUAGCUUGUGUCACAUUGACAAAAUAACUAACCAGGGCACAGGAUGACACCAUGUAUCCCUGGCUGGUCUGGAACUCUCGAUGUAGAAUAGGGUGGCCUAUAGCUCACAGAGAUCCUCCUGCCUCUGCCCACUGAGAGCUGUCACAACACUGGCUUAGAGGUCUAUCUAUUUUGAAAAAGAGCAUUUCUGAACAAAGAUUCUUUCCUGGACAGUGUUUCCAAACUACAGUUAGUGUUCCUGGAGCCCUGAGGCAAGGGAUUUGAUGGAGAAAUCUGUCUUACAGCCGAGUGUUCCAAGAUCUCUUACCCUCUCUGCGUUAUGUCUGACCAUGGAUCUCUGUAUUUGUUCCCAUCUGCUGCGGGAGGAAGCUUCUCUGAUGAUGAAAUGGAGCUGACAACAUAAGAGUCAAAUGUCCAAGCCCAUUAAAGUACGGAUUCGAGUUAAGGGGAAAGCAGAACCCGAGUAGCAUCUCCGUCCUGGAAGCUGGAAGAGGCCAGUGUAGAAGCUGAGGUAGUGUCAGUCUUCAGUUGUGGAGUUGUAACACCGUAGAGCUGGAGUAUAAGCCCUUGGACUUGAAUUGGUCAUGAACCUGAGAAACCCACAUCACUCAGAGUGCUGCCAGGUUUCUCGACUUCUGUCAGGACUUAGCAGGCUUACCGGUUCUACGAGUUUGUCUCCACUACCAGAAUGUGGGCAAGUCAAUUAAAAAAAAAAAAAAAUUACAAACCUGCCAUAAGAAUAGUGACUGGGGCUGAAGAGAUGCUCGGUGGUUAAGGAGGCAUGCUUCUCAUAGGAGACCUGCAUUUGCUUCCCAGCAUCCUUGUCAGGUGGACCACAGCUUCGUCUUCAUGGGGCCCAGUGCCCUCUGGCCUUCUCAGGUGUGAAAUGAUUCCAUGCCAUGUGGAGGAGCAAGAUGUCAUCUCUGAGAUUGGUCCUUAUGCAAACCAAAAGCUUGAUCCAACAGUCAGUCUCCAUGCUCACACUCAUGAAUCCCACCUUCCCCCCUUUCCUGGAUGCUCCUCAUUACAAGUUUGGUGUGAAUUUAACACCUGUGACACAUCUCAGCUUGGGUCAGCUACAUAAUAAGCUCUCAGGGCUAUCAGCUGCUGUACUGGCCAGGUAAGUUUGCUGACACCCACAUAAUCAUACAAGUAAAUAUUUAGAUUUUAAUGGUAAUAAGUGGAACUUAUAGGAUGUAUUAGAGAAAGCUGGCUUCUUGGGAACAGCACGAGUGAAGUCUACGAGCUGAAAAAUUGGAGAAAGUAAAGCCAGCGUGAUAACUUUCUGGGAGUGGAGGAAAUGGAAGAAAGAUAGUACCAAAACAGAGAGGGGAAUGAUCCAGGAGAAAUCUGAUUUCAGAGAGAAAAGGAAUUUAUUAACUGUAGAUGUUGAUUCCAGUUGCAGAGAUGUGGGGAAGGAAACAGAGAAGAGGGACUAGAGACUAUCAUUUGAGGCAUAUUGAAUGGGCAAGUUACACCGUUUGUUGAUGUUCUAAUGUUGGAACUUCUCAGGGACAAUUCUUUUAGGUAGCUGGAGUAGGAGCUGGGACAAGUUAGUCAAACAGAUCAGGGAAUGGAGGAACUAUAUGGUGAAUGCAAUCUGUGUCCUAAAAAGACCAUAGGUAAUGAUGGAGUUAAUGAGGGAGAUACUGCCACUGUGAGGACUGGCCUCCACAGCUCAGGGUAUGAUGGGGAUCCCACAGAGUCUGAGAACUAGGACUUUUCUAUCUGAGGGAGUAGGGAAAAGACACACACUCUCUUGAUGUGUUCCUUCAGACUUCUUUUUUUUUUUAAUUCUUAUUUUCUUUCCUGGUGUUUUCCUUCUCUCUUUCUUGAUGUUUUCCUUCUAACUAACCCUAACCUUAUUAUUUUUUUCUUUACAGCUUACAUAUCCCAGCAAAUUCUUUCAAGUAAUACAAAAAGUACAACGUGGUUACUUUCUAUUUUUCAAGUGAUUACAACAUAUACAAGUAAAAAACAGCGUGGUUUCCAUAUACCUUCCAUGAUUAAAUAUUUUAUGUGUUUCAGGUGAAAAAGAAGUUGUCCCAAGAAAUCACAUAUACCCAUGUCUAAGCAACUUAAUAUAGAUUAACAGAGCGUAAGCAAGCAAGGUAUUUUCUCAUCCAGUUCUUUUGCUAGCAGGCUGCAUUUUGAGGUUAGAAAGAAAGGACCAAUGGUGUUAUUAUAUAUCUCAAAAGGUAAUCUUAUAAGGAAUCUUAAAAGAAUCACAAACUUAAACUUUUAUAUAUGAAAAAAUCAGUCAGCUCUACUUUAAAUCUUUAGGGUGCACAUCAACAGUUAUUUUUACAUCAGGAAGUUGAGGAUAGAAACGGGCACAAGGAAUUAAUCGUCACCUUUGGUCACCAACCCAUCCUAGCAAGAAAGGUAUGUAAGCUAAUAAUAGUUGGGCUGCUUUGUUUUUGAUCCCUAACCUUAACAAACCUAUCACCCAGCUGUAUGUCCUUUAACUUUUUUUGAAGGUUUUUUUCCCCCUCUAAAGCCAUUUGAAAACAUCUUAGUCUAACCUUAAAUUAUUUUCAAAGCUUUGUUUCAGCUAUGACGCACUCCAAAACCUCUGAACUCAUCUCUCAACAUUAAGAUUAAAAGAAUUUAAGCUAGCUGGGCUUACUGGGACACAAUUGUUUUUCUUAAUCAUUAACCUAAACCACAAGUCUAUUGGCGCCUCAGUAGGAACCCAUGUGUUGUAGCUGUGUGACACUUCCUUGUUUUAUUUUUUUAUCCUCUGCAGCCUCUACUUUAUCAGAGGCAGGAGCAACAUUUUAUCCUACCUUUAUCUAAGUUAAUUUUUCUACUGAACUAAUCUCUAUCAGAAUUCUUCACUAUAUUUAUUAAAAUCCCUCAGUCAUUAAAAUCUUAUUUAAACUAACACUAUUGUUGUAUAAAAAUCAUUGCUUUAGUUAAAUAGUACAGCUUAGGAGGAAAUCGUCUUGAUUUCACAGGUAAAAACACCCAGUAGAGUGGGAUAUUUCCAUGACAUGAUCAUACUGCAUUAAGGGCAGUGACAUUUCCCCAUGCCCAUUCCCACCAUGCCAGAUACCAGAGAAAGACACAGCUGUAACAAGAAACCUGCUGGGGUUGAGGCUCCCAGGGGCUUGCCUAUCUGAGAUUCAUCCAUCAGGGUUUUGUUUCCUGGUGGGCUGAUUCCCUGAAGUCAGUUGUCAUCUGCUGUUCCUCUGACAUGGCCACUGUCAAGAAGACUACUCAGUGGUGAGGUGGUGGGGCCACCAGGAAGGAGCAUAGAAAAGUCCAAGAUACAGACGUGGAGCAGUGUGCGUGUGUGAAACCUGAAAUCUUCUGAUUUCAGCGUUAACGAUAGAUGAGCCCCAGCUUUCUUUAGUUGGCUGCCAGCAGCAUAGUGGGUGGUAGGUGAACCAAGUUUGAGGUAGGGAUGAAGGAUCCGGCAUUAAACAGUUGCCAUCUUACCAAAAUAGUUAAAUACUAUGUACCAAUGUUUCUGUCAGCGACAGUCACAUAUGUUAUUGUAUAUAAUGCAUAGCACAGAUCCUAUAGGAUCUGUACCUAGACUGUACCAUGUAAAUUCUUGUGAGUGCAUUCUGUGAUAUUUACACAAUGACCAAAAAAUUGUCUAACCACACCUUUCUCAGAAUGAAUGUAUCAUUAUGGCCAAGAAAUAUGUGACCACACUUGUACAUACUAGAGACUUUGGAAGAAAUGACCCAGAGGCUUAAAAGAGGUCCUGGGAAAUGAGCAUCAAAGGACCACAGCAUCAUUCUGAGUCCAGAGAUAAGCCAUGUUUGCCUGGGGACUGUGGAGAGCCUGCUAUGUUACCUCCCCUACUCUUGCUAUCUGGCAAGGGAGGUGUCUGCACUCAGCAAAUCCCAAAGAGAGGGUGAUGCUUGCUGUUGCUACCAGGAAAAGGCUGGGCAUUAGUGACCAGAUCACUAGGUUCUGGUCAACAAUCUCAUACACACACACACACUUUAGAUAAUCUUUUCUUUUUGCCUUCACAUGAGACAGGACAUCUGAUGUCUUUUGUCUUUCUGUGUCUGACUAUUGCAAUUAACAUGGUAUCUUCCAGCUUUCUCAACAUUGCAGCAAAUGAUAUGAUUUCCUUCUUUCUGACUGAAUAUUACUCCUUUGUGUGUAUGUAUUAAUUUUCUUCAUUCAUUUGUGGGUGUCUGGUCAUGUUCCACAUAAUAUUGUAAAUAGUACUACAAUAAAUAUGAAGAGUGCAGAUAUACUCUUUGGCAUGCUGAUUUUAUUUCCUUUAACAAUUGUGGAUUUCCAGUGCAAUGGUACAUUGCUGAGAUUCAUGAGAAAGGCUGAAAUCCUG
ensembl:lncRNA